rnacentral:lncRNA from 1 species
AUGCACUGUUUCUUCGCAUUUACCGUAAUGCUGAGAAUAAUCGCACACUUGAAAUUUACGUGCGGCUGGUUUGACCACGGAGAUGUUCGGCUGGCUGACGGUCAGGUAGAGGACCUCCGAAUGGUGUUUGCGGUUCCUCUCAGCAAGUGUUCGUGUUUUUUGUGGUUUUCAUGCUACAAGCACCAGCACACAGAGCAGGAGGACGAGGAGGAGCAUGAGGAUGCUCCGGGCAAUUAAAAAAAAU